GGGGGAGAAUGGGCAUCCCACCCCAGCACUUUCUAGGAAGAAGGGCAGCAUUUUGAAGGGCUGGAAGUAGAGGAAGGAGGUUGCGGGUAGAAGACUCCAUACUUUCUGUGACGCCUAUUCCUUAGGAGAGCCUUUAUAUAACCAAAGAUAUUUUUGGACCAUGAAUUCAGAAAUUCUCGGAGCCACCCAUCAGUGCCUGAGCUUCAGUGAGUCCAUAUCCCAUGUCACCCACGGCAAAGGAGACUCUAAGACUUCUGAAGAGUUUCUUGCUUCUUUCCUGUGGGGCAGUGACUCCACUUCCCAGCAGUAAUGGAAUAUCCUGAAUUAGCUACAUUAAUGUUAGAACCAUUUGGACCUCACCCAGGACUUCAACUACAUUAUGGUUCUAGUAUGUUACGUUUAUGUUCCCCUGCUUUCUACAAUCCUGUUCAAAGAGUUGCUGACUUAACCACAGAGAGGAUUCCAGAACCUGAGACACAGAAUAAACUUGAGCAAUCAUAGUCCAUCCACUUCAUUGUCUCAUCAAAAACCAAAGGUCCAGUGAAGCUCUGGAACUCAACGCUGUAAAGGAGCGAAGGAGCUUCUAUACAGAGCCUGGAUGCCUGUCUCCUUAUCCUACUUCAGUGGACUUGACUGCAAUCCGGAUUAUGCUGUUUUCUAAGCAUUUAAAAUAAAAUAAAAAGUAUAA
rnacentral:lncRNA from 1 species